rnacentral:tRNA from 2 species
GGAGAGAUGGUCGAGUGGACGAAGGCGCCACAUUGGAAAUGUGGUGUGGGGCAACUCACCGAGGGUUCGAAUCCCUCUCUCUCCGCCA